UGACCUUCACCGGGGGGAAGCCGCCUCCUAC
rnacentral:sRNA from 1 species